AGUGAACGCUGGCGGUAGGCCUAACACAUGCAAGUCGAACGGCAGCACAGUAAGAGCUUGCUCUUACGGGUGGCGAGUGGCGGACGGGUGAGGAAUAAAUCGGAAUCUACUUUUUCGUGGGGGAUAACGUAGGGAAACUUACGCUAAUACCGCAUACGACCUACGGGUGAAAGCAGGGGAUCUUCGGACCUUGCGCGAUUGAAUGAGCCGAUGUCGGCUUAGCUAGUUGGCGGGGUAAAGGCCCACCAAGGCGACGAUCCGUAGCUGGUCUGAGAGGGUGAUCAGCCACACUGGAACUGAGACACGGUCCAGACUCCUACGGGAGGCAGCAGUGGGGAAUAUUGGACAAUGGGCGCAAGCCUGAUCCAGCCAUACCGCGUGGGUGAAGAAGGCCUUCGGGUUGUAAAGCCCUUUUGUUGGGAAAGAAAAGCAGCAGGUUAAUACCCCGCUGUUCUGACGGUACCCAAAGAAUAAGCACCGGCUAACUUCGUG
rnacentral:rRNA from 1 species